GAUGAAGAACGUAGCGAAAUGCGAUAAGUAAUGCGAAUUGCAGAAUUCCGUGAGUCAUCGAAUCUUUGAACGCACAUUGCGCCCGCCAGCAUUCUGGCGGGCAUGCCUGUUCGAGCGUCAUUUCAACCCUCGAGCCCCCCCGGGGGCCUCGGUGUUGGGGGACGGCACACCAGCCGCCCCCGAAAUGCAGUGGCGACCCCGCCGCAGCCUCCCCUGCGUAGUAGCACACACCUCGCACCGGAGCGCGGAGGCGGUCACGCCGUAAAACGCCCAACUUUCUUAGAGUUGACCUCGGAUCAGGUAGGAAUACCCGCUGAACUUAAGCAUAUCAAUAAGCGGAGGA
rnacentral:misc_RNA from 1 species